GAUGAACGCUGGCGGCGUGCCUAACACAUGCAAGUCGAGCGGACGGACGCGGCUCUUGCUUCGCUGUUGUUAGCGGCGGGCGGGUGAGUCACACGUGUAUACCCUCCCUAUAAGUCUGGUAUCACUUCGGGAAACCGGAUAUAACACCGGAUGAUAUUUUGAAGCGCGGGGUUCAAUGGUGAAUGACGGUCUUGCUGUCACUAAUAGAGGGAUCCGAGCUGCAUUAGCUAGUUGGUACGGUAACGGCUUACCAAGGCUACGAUGCAUAGCCGACCUGAGAGGGUGAUCGGCCACACUGGAACUGAGACACGGUCCAGACUCCUACGGGAGGCAGCAGUAGGGAAUCUUCGGCAAUGGGCGAAAGCCUGACGGAGCGACGCCGCGUGUGUGAUGAAGGUCUUCGGAUCGUAAAGCUCUGUUACUAGGGAAGAACAGAUGUGUAAUUAACCGUGGACAUCUUGACGGUACCUAAUCAAAAAGCACCGGCUAACUACGUG
rnacentral:rRNA from 1 species